rnacentral:rRNA from 1 species
GAUGAACGCUGACAGAAUGCUUAACACAUGCAAGUCGAUGGGGAAGUGGUGCUUGCACCAUGGUAACCAUGGCGGACGGGUGAGUAACGCGUAAGGGACUUACCUGCAGGACUGGGAUAACAGGGGGAAACUCCUGACAAGACCGGAUAAUGUCAUGGAGCUGCCUGGCUUUAUGAUGAAAGGAGACGCCUGCGGAGAGCCUUGCGUCCUAUUAGCUAGUUGGUGAGGUAAUGGCUCACCAAGGCGAAGAUAGGUAGCCGGCCUGAGAGGGUGGACGGCCACAAGGGGACUGAGAUACGGCCCUUACUCCUACGGGAGGCAGCAGUGGGGAAUAUUGGACAAUGGGGGCAACCCUGAUCCAGCAAUUCUGUGUGCACGAAGAAGGUUUUCGGAUUGUAAAGUGCUUUCAGCAGGGAAGAAGUAAGUGACGGUACCUGCAGAAGAAGCGACGGCUAAAUACGUG